rnacentral:rRNA from 1 species
GACGAACGCUGGCGGCGUGCCUAAUACAUGCAAGUAGAACGCUGAAGGAGGAGCUUGCUUCUCCGGAUGAGUUGCGAACGGGUGAGUAACGCGUAGGUAACCUGCCUGGUAGCGGGGGAUAACUAUUGGAAACGAUAGCUAAUACCGCAUAAGAGUAGAUGUCGCAUGACAUUUGCUUAAAAGGUGCAACUGCACCACUACCAGAUGGACCUGCGUUGUAUUAGCUAGUUGGUGAGGUAACGGCUCACCAAGGCAACGAUACAUAGCCGACCUGAGAGGGUGAUCGGCCACACUGGGACUGAGACACGGCCCAGACUCCUACGGGAGGCAGCAGUAGGGAAUCUUCGGUAAUGGACGGAAGUCUGACCGAGCAACGCCGCGUGAGUGAAGAAGGUUUUCGGAUCGUAAAGCUCUGUUGUAAGAGAAGAACGAGUGUGAGAGUGGAAAGUUCACACUGUGACGGUAUCUUACCAGAAAGGGACGGCUAACUACGUG